CUACAAACCUGUAUUUUUCUGAUCUAGCAUCCAGCUUAUGUCCAUUAACAUUUUUCACAUAAGCCGGGUAACCCUAAAUCUUAAGAUGCUUAAGAUUGGAUCUUUUCUCUUUUCAUAUUUUAUAUGAAGUGUAGAAACAGAUUUCGAAGGUACUUUAUUUAAAAUAUAUGCUACAGUCUUGAGGGUGUAUCUCCACAAGGAUAUUGGA
rnacentral:lncRNA from 1 species